rnacentral:rRNA from 1 species
UACGUAGGUGGCAAGCGUUGUCCGGAAUUAUUGGGCGUAAAGCGCGCGCAGGCGGUCCUUUAAGUCUGAUGUGAAAGCCCACGGCUCAACCGUGGAGGGUCAUUGGAAACUGGGGGACUUGAGUGCAGGAGAGAAGAGUGGAAUUCCACGUGUAGCGGUGAAAUGCGUAGAGAUGUGGAGGAACACCAGUGGCGAAGGCGGUUCUCUGGGCAGUAACUGACGCUGAGGAGCGAAAGCGUGGGGAGCGAACAGG